UGGGGAAUAUUGCACAAUGGGCGCAAGCCUGAUGCAGCAACGCCGCGUGAGGGACGACGGCCUUCGGGUUGUAAACCUCUUUUAGUAGGGAAGAAGCGAAAGUGACGGUACCUGCAGAAAAAGCACCGGCUAACUACGUGCCAGCAGCCGCGGUAAUACGUAGGGUGCGAGCGUUGUCCGGAAUUAUUGGGUGUAAAGAGCUCGUAGGCGGUCUGUCGCGUCUGCUGUGAAAACCCGAGGCUCAACCUCGGGCCUGCAGUGGGUACGGGCAGACUAGAGUGCGGUAGGGGAGAAUGGAAUUCCUGGUGUAGCGGUGGAAUGCGCAGAUAUCAGGAGGAACACCGAUGGCGAAGGCAGUUCUCUGGGCCGUAACUGACGCUGAGGAGCGAAAGCGUGGGGAGCGAACAGGAUUAGAUACCCUGGUAGUCCACGCCGUAAACGUUGGGCGCUAGAUGUGGGGACCAUUCCACGGUUUCCGUGUCGCAGCUAACGCAUUAAGCGCCCGCCUGGGGAGUACGGCCGCAAGGCU
rnacentral:rRNA from 1 species